UACGUAGGGUGCGAGCGUUGUCCGGAAUUAUUGGGCGUAAAGAGCUUGUAGGCGGUUUGUCGCGUCUGCUGUGAAAAUCCGGGGCUCAACCCCGGACUUGCAGUGGGUACGGGCAGACUAGAGUGUGGUAGGGGAGACUGGAAUUCCUGGUGUAGCGGUGAAAUGCGCAGAUAUCAGGAGGAACACCGAUGGCGAAGGCAGGUCUCUGGGCCACUACUGACGCUGAGACGCGAAAGCCAGGGGAGCGAACGGG
rnacentral:rRNA from 1 species